GUAUAAUAAUCAAUUACAUUAAUAAUAUUAUGAAAAUAUCCAAUAAAAUUGGUAUAAUUAUUAUGUAGAACAUGUAUAUAAUAUUGUGUAAGUUCAAACAAAAAAAGUGAACUAUAUACUAAGCCUUUUUUUUUUUUGUGUUACGAAUGGCGCAUAACGAUGAUGAUAAUAAACAAUAUCGACUUUGACCAGCUUUACAAUACGAUCAGCACGUCAAGGUGGGUAUCAUGUGUGUGCCGCCGAUUGCACGCGGAUACCAAAAAUCACGACGACAAAGUUUUGGCACAACCUUUGGCGAAUACCAUACAUAGUUAACAUCAUUGUCUUAUUAUCGUAAAAUCACAUGCAAAUUCCACUGCACCGUGUUCGAAGAAAAGUUUCCACGGUUGUCGCUAUCGUCCUUAAGGGUUUUAUUCCGACGAUGUGUCUGUAGCUCGUCGUUUAUAGUGACCAUCACCGUAGCUGCAACAAGAAAAUUUUCUUCCGACAUUCAGAAGUAUUCUCCCUAGUGCCAACAGAAAAAAUUUUCUUUUCUUAGGAAUCGGUUCAGAAACUGUUUCCACCAGGUCGCUACUAGCUAACACGUCGAUCGUCUCUUCCUCUGCGUCCGAUGGCCAUAAUUGCUUCUCGCUCGAUGAAUACGUCAUUUUCAGCAAUUCUGAUAGCCACAUUACACAUGUUUGCUCUUCAUCAAACGUCAGUAGUUCUGUUAUCUGAGGUUCCGUUGUCGGAAGUAUUGUCAGUGGCAUUUUGUUAAUUUUUUCAAUCAAUUCGUUGUCUCCCUCCAUUAUAUUUAUAGUACUUAUGCUUUGCACGUUAUAUGACGUCCGAUCCAUGUUAAAGUAUCUCGUUCUUAUUGCUACCAUUUUAGUAGCAUAAUCGAACUAACCAUCUGUGAGUUGCAAGGACUGGCAUUCAUAUUCGUCAUUGCCACUCGAAAAAAUAGACGUAGACAAGUGGUGCAUCUUCAAUACCAAAUGUAUUUGUUCAAAUAGAUCAUCCAGUAUCCUUCCGGACGCAAUACCAAGUCUUCGUCUUCGUAUAAGUCAAUAUCCAUACCUUGUAGUGUUGUGUCUCCUAACUCAAGGGAAUAACGUAUUUCUUCAAAAAAUUCAUCGAGCAAUCCCGGUGCCCCAUUAUCACCAUCCAUUAUUAAACAAUUAUUAAUAAUUAGUCUUAAGUUGAAAGGUUGAAAGCAAAUAUUUAUUUUAGUAGGAGCAAAAUAUAAACGAUACUGAUAUUGCAAAUUAUAUUUUAUAGGUUAUACAAACAUCAUUAUUGUGUCUCUUUAACAACAAAUAAAAUACAAUAUAAAUGUUAAAGCUAAUGUGCGUUUCAUUCGCGUUUUUAAAAUCAUUACAUUCAUCACUUCGUUCAGAAUCUAUAAAAUAACAAAAAUAUAGUAUAUGUUCAUCUAUACGUAAGAUAUAAGUUAUUCAUAAUGUCAACCAUGCUGAAAAUUCUUAAAUAUUUAGAAAAGCUGUACUCAGCAUAUAUAUUUUAUGUGGCAUGUUAAGUUAUUAUAUAAAUACUUAUACACAGACACGGUUAAUUCGAAUCGUAAAGGAUCUAAAUAUAUGAAUAAAAUAUGAUGAUUGAUACACACUUGAGUUAUUAUUAAGUUCUUCAUUCUUGGUCUCCAUUAAUAUUGUCUUGAAUAUGUACAUGUUUAAACACGCUGGUUGGUGAAGUAUAUAAAAUCAUUCUAGACUUUGAAAGUUCCUCAAAGUUUAAUGUUUACGAGUCAACGUGAAAUGUUGAUGCAUCGCGUUGCAAUCAAAUGUCUAAUUUACGAGGUACUCGCUAUUAUCAUGCAAUAUUAAAGUGACACCGUGAAUAACGUGUUUCGUGUUAACAAGCUCUUAUAACUAAGUAAAACUAAUGCAGUCGGGUAAAAACGCGUCUUGAACCAACUUUUAAACAGACGGAGUAGCAACUAAUUACCGUAUUCCAUAUUGACGAUGACAUUCCAAAGAGUGACACGCCCGCGAUUUAUAACACUUAUACCUAUUGAAUACAAUAAUAUAUAACGCAGUAAUAACUUAUUCCCACGGUACCAAUAUAACUAAUAUACUCGUUCAUCGUUUUCUUCGUAAUCUGUCUAAAAUAGAAUGCAAACACGCAAGUCGACUAUUUUUCAAUUUUAUUUUCAAUUUUUAUUGCGACUAUAUAUAAUAAAUAUUAUUAUAUUGUUAAUAGUACAGAUACAGUGUAGGGAAGGUAUAUAUUGAUGUACUACUUAACCUUCAAUAUCAAAUAAUUAAAAAGAGGAAUACAAUUUUUUGGUAUAAACGUGUAUAUGUAAAAAUUAAAUUUAACGGCUUACAUACGCGUUUUAGGUAGGUACGUCAGACUGGGUCAGUGUUUAUACCUAAUAAUAUAAUAUACAUUUUAUAAAUGCAUCGUGUGUUCGUUAAAUGGGCCGAUUGAGAAGUUAAAUUUAAUGUAAUUAUAAUAUAUAAUAUAUUCAUUUUUACGUAUGUAUGUAUAUUGUAUAUAUCAUUGAUUACAUAAUCAAUGGUAUAUAUGCAGUUUAUUUUUUCAAAAAUAAUAAAUACUUUUAAACAUUACAAAAACGUGUGAUCUGAGAAUCACUGGUUAUGAAAAAACCUACUAUCUACCUACUUGACGUCAUUUACUUAAAAAAUUAUAUUUUUGAUAAUGAGUAAAAAAUCGUUUCUAAUUUUUUAAUUGAAGUGGAAAAUGUUCGAACGCGGUUAAUUUCUCGUCGAAUCGUCUGCAUCGUCAAAGGCUUCCCAAAUCUAUAACUGCAUAUUAUGGCUAACAUGAUUACUGAUAUAAAAAUAAAUUAAACAAGUCUUACAAUAAUUAUUCAAAGAUUCUAAUACAACUAAUUAAACAUAUUAUAUGAUACAUAAGAUUAAACAAAAUAAUUUACCAAAUUUUUAUGAAAAUGACUCAAAAUUGGAUCGGUACGUCAGGAUUAUCGGUUUCUUUUACACAUGCAUUUUUUUUAUCAUUACCAGCCUCGAUUGGUGUUUCACUUACAGAAAAUUUACGUCUCUUUCCUCUUUCAUCAUCUAUUUGAUAACUGCAGACUCUUUUCCUUAUAACACCUUUAUUUCUAAUAAAAAAAUCCUAUAAAUAGGAGAAUAAAAAUAUACUCGUCUUAGGUGUAUUGCAUACACAUAUGUACCUACUUUAUCUUUAUAUUUCUGAUAAAGACGUUUAUUUUUAUAAUUUAAUGAAUACGAUUAGGUAACUAUGUACGAUUAAUCAAUUUAUAAAAUUCUAAAUCAAUUCAGAAUAAUCCAUUUCAUUUUUCUGUUUAAGAUUAUUAGACCAGAUAUUAAAUUUAAAUAAUAUUACAUCCUUCAAAUUUUAUGAUAGAUAGAUUCAUUAUUAUAUGUAUUAGUAAGACAGAUACAAUAAAUAAGGGUACAUCCUUUUUACAAAAACACAAAUUCAAAUCGUUUACUCCAACAAAUCCUGGUUUCCAAUGGGUGUAAUACACGACUCUCUCAGCUGUAGUGGUACCAGCAAAAGGGGCCAAACUAGACACCCCCUUACUUGGGUCUGGCUGGCUGAUAACGACUGUUGAGACGCACCUCACUCAACCGCCGGCUCUGGGGUUUCCGAUGCUCCUGUAGCAGUAAUAUCAGAACUAUUCGUUGUACUUGUCAUCAUGAUUUUAAGAUUGUGGUGACUUAGCAUCGAAUGGCGCCAAUAGCUUCACGAUGCCUGUCCUUUGUCCAAUCCAUAGUUCUGCGGCCACUGGAUGUCGACCUCCGGGAGCUUGAUUGCUCACCUGUUGUCCCCUGAGGAGAUUGAGCGUACAAAUCCAAAUCGUUUACUCCAACAAAUCCUGGUUUCAAUUGCGUGUAUUACACGACUCUCUCAGCUGUAGUGGUACCAGCAAAAGGGGCCAAACUAGACACCCCCUUACUUGGGUCUGGCUGGCUGAUAACGACUGUUGAGACGCACCUCACUCAACCGCCGGCUCUGGGGUUUCCGAUGCUCCUGUAGCAGUAACAUCAGAACUAUUUGUUGUACUUGUCAUCAUAAUUUUAAGAUUGUGGUGGCUUAGCAUCCACUGGCGCCAAUAGCUUCGCGACGCCUGUCCUUUGUCCGAUCCGUAUAUAAGAUCAAUAUUCUAUAGACUUUAAUCCACAUUUACACAAUUCGAUUGAAACAUAAUUAAAUUAUUUUAAUUUUAAAUAAAAAUUAAAAAUAAAUAAGCUUCUAUUAAAAUUGGGUGAAAUUUAUCUUAGAUAUGUAUUCUUUCUCAUGCAAAAUUGUCUCCAUUUUAAUAUUUGCUGAUCAAUGAUUUAAUUAUAAUAUUUUUUUUAAUCUCACCAAAUAAAUAAAUGAACAUAAGUAGGUUAGUAUCUACUGCAUUUGAGUCGUUUUUAACUAUUUCAGUUUAAGUGUCAUUCCAAUAUAAUAUACAAUUCUAAAUAGCCAAUAUAAUAUAAUGUUGUAUAGAAUAAACCAUAAAUUAUAAAUACAAAACUAUCGAAAAUGAAAUAAACAUUAUAGUAAAUCGGAGAAAAUAACUACGGUACACAUUAAAUUAAAGAAAAAUUAAAUACAAUUUUGUGGAUAAAUAAAAGAGAUAUAUCGAUAAAAAAAAAAACAAAUGAUUUAUGUAUUUUUUAUACAGAUACACCUAUAUCCCAUUCGUGAGCGAGGAGGUCAACCGGCAUCAUGGAAGAGAACUCGGACGAAGUUUCGACGGAUACCGUGCGAUAGGCUUUGAUUAUCCGGAGGGCUGUGGUUCUUUGUGCUCUUGCCAUAGCAUUGCGGUUUUUGGCCUUCUUGAUGUCCACAAACACCCAGAUUGGUGGAGCGUAUAGCAGCUUGCAAUUUGCUACUGAGCCCAGAAGCGGUCUGUGAUGGGCCGCAGAUGUUUGGCAUGAGUCACCUGAUCGCCUUAACUAACUGUGUUGCCUUAUCUAACGCUAAACCGCUAUACCACAAUGUGCCUGGUGAAGGACAGUCGCGAGUCCAACUCUACGGUUGACCAACAGCUUCCUGCCUUUGAGGUAUGAUCGCAGCAUUUUGUUGAAGUAUAGAGGAACCUGAUUGGCUCGUAGUGUGACGUCGAUCUUGGUCCAUAAUGCCUUGUUGAACGCGUUUUUUACGUCUAGCGAGACGGCUACUCAGAUGUCGCGGUGUUGUGCAGCGCCAGUCGAGACCCCGCGCGCGGCUUCUAUCACCCGCUCGAUUGCGUCCACUGUCAACCUGCCGCUGCGGAAGCCGUACUGGUCUUCUGACCGUUGACCCGUGCCGUCGAGUUGUUAGUUCAGCCUAGCAAGCACUAGUCGUUCCAAGAGUUUGCUGACAGAGUCCAACAUGUACAGAGGCCUGGAGAUGGACGGAUCUUCUACUGACUGGCCAGACCCUUUGUGAAGCAGGACUAGUCUAGCGGUCUUCCAGCGAGACGGGAACUCUCUGAUAGCCAGGCACGCGUUGAACAUCUAAGUCAGGAGCUGGGGCCUGAGUCGUGAGACCAGCAGCAGUACCUUGUUGGGUAUGCCUUCCGGAUCAGUGACUAAUCUUUUGCAAUCAUCUAAGAUCUUCUCGCCGGUGAAAUCCUGCAGAGCAUGCUGUUCGUCAUCAUCUAGAGGAGGUUCUUGCGACCACACCGUUUCCGAUGGAUUUAGAAAGAGGUGAUCGGCGAUGGCUUCAUCGCUGCCGCGGGCUUCGAUGCCUGGACGCCGUCGACCUAUCUUCUUCGUGACCACCCUAUAAAUAUUACCAAUUUGGAUGGAAGCUGAUUAGUAAAUUCAAAACAAAACAAUUUGGAAAAAGCUGCAUAAUAUGUUUACUAUACAAGAUCUAUGACGUAUGAUUUUAAUAUUUAAUUAUUUUACAAUUAAUGUAUUUUCUUUAAGUUCAAAUAAUUAUUAAAAUAAACUAUAGAAUACAGAGUAA